rnacentral:lncRNA from 1 species
UCAUCCUCUUCUUAUUGGAUUGAGAAGAAUCUUUAUUCUUUGACUAGGCCUAAUUGCUGUCGAAGUGGAUGAAAAACAACCUUUUGAGCUAUUUGAAUGAAUGAAUGGACUCUAAUUGGAGCCCUAAGUACCAUGUUUGUGCCAAUCUUUUGAGGGUGGCCGAGAAGGCGAGGCAGAGAAGGGGGUCUGAUGCAUCAUGGAGCAUCAUGAGGCCCUUAUAGCCCUCUAAGUGGUUGAGGG